rnacentral:tRNA from 1 species
GCGCGGGAUUCCGGGAUGUGCGGAAUUCAAAUUUACAGAACAAAAUCAAGGUUAAGUUGUUGUUUUACAACAAAACAAAUCAUGAUUUAGGUUCCAGCGCCGCAAGGCGUGCGGGUUCGAGUCCCGCCCCGCGCACCA